rnacentral:rRNA from 1 species
GAUGAACGCUGGCGGCGUGCCUAAUACAUGCAAGUCGAGCGAACAGACGAGGAGCUUGCUCCUCUGACGUUAGCGGCGGACGGGUGAGUAACGCGUGUCUAACCUACCUAUAAGACUGGGAUAACUUCGGGAAACCGGAUCUAAUACAGGAUAAUAUAUUGAACCGCAUGGUUCAAUAGUGAAAGACGGUUUUGCUGUCACUUAUAGAUGGAUCCGCGCCGCAUUAGCUAGUUGGUAAGGUAACGGCUUACCAAGGCAACGAUGCGUAGCCGACCUGAGAGGGUGAUCGGCCACACUGGAACUGAGACACGGUCCAGACUCCUACGGGAGGCAGCAGUAGGGAAUCUUCCGCAAUGGGCGAAAGCCUGACGGAGCAACGCCGCGUGAGUGAUGAAGGUCUUCGGAUCGUAAAACUCUGUUAUUAGGGAAGAACAAAUGUGUAAGUAACUAUGCACGUCUUGACGGUACCUAAUCAGAAAGCCACGGCUAACUACGUG